rnacentral:rRNA from 1 species
CCCGCUGAACUUAAGCAUAUCAAUAAGCGGAGGAAAAGAAACCAACAGGGAUUGCCCCAGUAACGGCGAGUGAAGCGGCAACAGCUCAAAUUUGAAAUCUGGCCUCGGCCCGAGUUGUAAUUUGUAGAGGAAGCUUCUGGUGCGGCGCCGUCCGAGUCUCCUGGAACGGAGCGCCAUAGAGGGUGAGAGCCCCGUAUGGACGGAUGCCAAACCUGUGUGAAGCUCCUUCGACGAGUCGAGUAGUUUGGGAAUGCUGCUCUAAAUGGGAGGUAAAUUCCUUCUAAAGCUAAAUAUUGGCCAGAGACCGAUAGCGCACAAGUAGAGUGAUCGAAAGAUGAAAAGCACUUUGAAAAGAGGGUUAAACAGCACGUGAAAUUGUUGAAAGGGAAGCGCUUGUGACCAGACUUGAGCGCGGCGGAUCAUCCGGUGUUCUCACCGGUGCACUCCGCCGCGCCCAGGCCAGCAUCGGUUUCCGCGGGGGGACAAAGGUCCCGGGAACGUAGCUCCUCCGGGAGUGUUAUAGCCCGGGGCGUAAUGCCCUCGUGGGGACCGAGGACCGCGCAUCUGCAAGGAUGCUGGCGUAAUGGUCAUCAGCGACCCGUCUUGAAACACGGACCAAGGAGUCAAGGUUUUGCGCGAGUGUUUGGGUGUUAAACCCGCACGCGUAAUGAAAGUGAACGUAGGUGAGAGCUUCGGCGCAUCAUCGACCGAUCCUGAUGUAUUCGGAUGGAUUUGAGUAGGAGCGUUAAGCCUUGGACCCGAAAGAUGGUGAACUAUGCUUGGAUAGGGUGAAGCCAGAGGAAACUCUGGUGGAGGCUCGCAGCGGUUCUGACGUGCAAAUCGAUCGUCAAAUCUGAGCAUGGGGGCGAAAGACUAAUCGAACCAUCUAGUAGCUGGUUACCGCCGAAGUU